AUUGAACGCUGGCGGCAUGCCUUACACAUGCAAGUCGAACGGCAGCGCGGGAGCAAUCCUGGCGGCGAGUGGCGAACGGGUGAGUAAUAUAUCGGAACGUGCCCAGUAGUGGGGGAUAGCCCGGCGAAAGCCGGAUUAACACCGCAUACGACCUACGGGUGAAAGGGGGGGAUCGCAAGACCUCUCGCUAUUGGAGCGGCCGAUAUCAGAUUCGGUAGUUGGGGGGGUAAAGGCCUACCAAGCCUGCGAUCUGUAGUUGGUCUGAGAGGACGACUAGCCACACUGGGACUGGGACGCGACCCAGACUCCUACGGGAGGCAGCAGUGGGGGAUUUUGGACAAUGGGCGGAAGCCUGAUCCAGCAAUGCCGCGUGCAGGAAGAAGGCCUUCGGGUUGUAAACUGCUUUUGUCAGGGAAGAAAUCCUCUGGGUUAAUACCUCGGGGGGAUGACGGUACCUGAAGAAUAAGCACCGGCUAACUACGUGCCAGCAGCCGCCGUAACAC
rnacentral:rRNA from 1 species